AUUGAACGCUGGCGGCAGGCCUAACACAUGCAAGUCGAGCGAGCGGCGGACGGGCGAGUAAUGUAUGGGGACUGCCCGAUAGUGGGGGAUAACUACUGGAAACGGUAGCUAAUACCGCAUCCUAUCGGAUAACCUAUAUGGGAUUUGCUAGUAGGUGAGGUAAUGGAUCACCUAGGCGACGAUCCCUAGCUGAUGUGAGAGGAUGAGCAGGCACACUGGGACGGAGACACGGCCCAGACUACUACGGAGGCGGCAGUGGAGAGUAUUGCACUAUGGGCGCAAGCCUGAUGCAGCCAUGCCGCGUGUAGUGUGGAGGCCUUCGUGUUGUAAAGUACAUUUGGCAGAGAAGCGGUAUCUGCAGAAUAAGCACCGGCUAACUACGUGCCAGCAGCCGCGGUAAUAC
rnacentral:rRNA from 1 species